rnacentral:rRNA from 1 species
UACGUAGGUGGCAAGCGUUGUCCGGAUUUAUUGGGCGUAAAGCGCGUGUAGGCGGCUUUGCAAGUCGGGUGUGAAAGCCCUCAGCUCAACUGAGGAGGUGCGCCCGAAACUGCAGAGCUUGAGUACCGGAGAGGAUGGUGGAAUUCCCCAAGUAGAGGUGAAAUUCGUAGAUAUGGGGAGGAACACCGGUGGCGAAGGCGACCAUCUGGACGGAUACUGACGCUGAGACGCGAAAGCCAGGGGAGCAAACGGG